rnacentral:RNase_P_RNA from 1 species
GGAGGAGGCUGGACGAUCGCUCGCGUUCGCGCGGGAGGAAAGUCCGGGCUCCACAGGGCUGGGUGGUGGGUAACGCCCACCGUCCGUGAGGAUAGGGAAAGUGCCACAGAGAACAGACCGCCGGCGAUCUCGCUUCGCGAGGUCCUCGGUAAGGGUGAAACGGCGAGGUAAGAGCUCACCGCAGGAACGGGGACGUUCCUGGCAAGGCAAACCCCACCCGGAGAAAGGCCACGUAGGAGGAUCCGCACGGCCCGUGCAUGGUCCUCGGGUAGGCCGUUCGAGGCCGGCAGCGAUGUCGGUCCCAGAGAAAUGGUCGUCACCGAACCGCGAGGUUCGGCACCAGAACCCGGCUUACGGCCUCCUCCCGAU